rnacentral:rRNA from 1 species
CCGCACGGGUGAGUAACGCGUAUCCAACCUGCCUUACACUCUUGACAGCCUUCUGAAGGGAGAUUAAUACAAGAUGGCAUCAUGAGUCCGCAUGUUCACAUGAUUAAAGGUGUUCCGGUAGACGAUGGGGAUGCGUUCCAUUAGAUAGUAGGCGGGGUAACGGCCCACCUAGUCUUCGAUGGAUAGGGGUUCUGAGAGGAAGGUCCCCCACAUUGGAACUGAGACACGGUCCAA